AAUCAUUCUACACUUCCGCCCGUAGUCUGUUGUGCCAUGUGCAGGACACACACGGUUCAGCAGUGGAUGAUCUCCAUUUUGUCUGAGUUGCUGGAAGAUCCCUCAACUUAAAUUCAGCUGAUCAGUUGAACGAGAUAGAGCUCCAUGUAAUCACUGAUGACCAAAUCGAGAAGUUGGUUCUUCCAUCAGGGA